UUACACUGGGCAAAAUUUAUAUACAUUGUGAUAAAUUAUUUCAGUGACUGUUUGGGCAGUGAAAAGCAAACUUGCUAUGCAUCAUCCCAUCAGAUAGCUGGGUGAUCACUCUUUCAUCACCGAAGUUGAAUCAUGCCUUAGCUAAUUGAAUAUAAUCUUUGUUAAACAAUUUUCUACUAUGCUGUUUUCCAGUCAGCAAAAGCCUUGCUUAUUUUUCCUGUUUAUUAUCAACUUCUGAGUUUCUUUCAAAAUGGAGCUAUCAGGUCAUACAUAGUAAGCUCCCAAGGAUAAUACGUAUUAAUUUUUACUUUUGCCAUGGAAUUGUCUUUGCUUAUUUUCUUUUGAAUCCUAGUUUUGUUGCAUCAGGGAAGCCGAAGACUUGAUCUCAUCACUUUCAUGUGCCUCUUACUGUCUGGUCCCUUUUGAAGUUCUGGGCAUUAUAUUCCUUACUGUUUUUUUUCUCAGUGGGGAUUCUUUGUUCCAUUAACACAAAAUAGCUAGAAGAAGAUAUUUGCACUGUUGAAUGGAUUCACUCUUCUCAUACUAAAAUUCUAAAAUAAUUGAACUUUAGGAACAAAAUAUUUACUGAAGCACAGGUAAUUACUGAGAACUUAUGGCCCAGCAAAUUCUAGAGGUGGUCGCUUCCUCAGUCCCUUCCUGUUCAAGUUUAUAGAACCAAACAAUGAAAAAUCAUUUGCCUUCAUGCUACUCUGUUCCCUAGAGCACAAUUAAAUAUUAAGAAACAGUUAAAUUGCUUCAUAGUAUGGGAGAGAUUGAAUUCUCUACACAGAGUGGCUGGGUUCUUAAAUUUCUUUAGUUUGUUUAGUUUUGCUACUUUGUUGAGAGAUGAAACUUUUAGAAAAAGAAAACUUUUGGCCUUGCAAGUACAAGGUUCUGAGAUCAAUCCCCGGUAUCAGAAAAAAAAAAAAAAAGAAAACUUUUUUUUUUUGAGACAGGGUCUUGCUAUUAGUUCAGGCAGGCCUUGAAAUCACUAUGUAGCCCAGGUUGGCCUGGAACUUUCAGCAAUCCUCCUGGGAUUACAGGCCUCAGCCUCCCAAGUGCUGGGAUUACUGGCAUGUGCCACCAUGCCCAGCUAGGAAGACAUAUUUAAAGUGUUAUUUUUUCCAGCAUUUUAUUGUGAAAAUUCUCAACAAAUAAAAAAAGUAUAAACACACACACAUAUGGCACAUAAAAUUUAAAAUUAUCAACUGCUAAUUUUUUUUUUUUUUGAUACUGGGGAUCAAACUCAGGACCUUGUGCUUUUGAGGCAGGCACCGGAACCACUGAGCUAAAUCUCUGGCCCCAUCAAUUGCUAAUUUUUUUUUUUUUGUUUUGGUUUAGGGUUUUUUUGAGACAGGAUCUCACUAUGUAGUUCAGGCUGGCCUUGAACUCACUGUGUAGCUCAGGCUGGCCUCAAACUCAUGGUGAUCCACUUGCCUCAGCCUCCCGAGUGCUGGGAUUAUAUGUAUGUGCCACCGUAUUUGGCUUUUAACUGCUAAUUUUUAAAUAAGGAUAAUUUCAACCCAUUUCUCUUGGCAAGUGUCAGUCAGAGAAUGUUUCCUAUGCAUAUCAAGUCUCCUGUGUCAGAGAGUCUUGGUUUUUAGCAGGCCUGUUUUAUCAACGUAGUUUACUUGGGAUGUCACUAGUCUUGGUCUCCCUCUUUCAAAACUUGUGCUGAAUUUCUCCUUUUCCUCAGGCUAUGAUUUCCACCAUUUUCCUUUCUAAUUGGCAUGUCAGUGUGAAGGUACUUGAGAAGCUGCUCUGGAGACUUUUAUUCUAAUCUGUGUUGCUUUAUGAUACAUCCUCAGGACUCUGAAAUUCAAACUCAAUCCUUAGAUAACAGUAGCUUUAUUACAAGUAGAUAGCAACUUGAAAUUAGAAUAUUUUUUCUUAAUGAAUUGAUUCAUGCACUUUAAAAAAUAUUUUUAUCUGUUAUUUAGGAAAGCAAAAUGGACUUUUAAAAGUGUUUAUUGUCCCAUUAUAAUGUGGAUAUGGAAGAACUACAUCUGUAAGCUCAGUAAGUCUUAUGUUAGUCAAUGGAAUUAGAUAUUGUGAAAUUUAUAAUAUGUAAAUUUAGAACAUAAAAUUUUUGUUGAGCCCCUAUUUAGUCCCGCUUAAGAGGAUUAAGGAAAAUCCAAACCCUGAAGUCUGUAUUUUGUAUAUAUUUUUAAAGACCAUUUCUCUGCAGAAACUUGCCUUUUAACCUCAAAGUCUGUGGUUUUAAGAUUUGGCGUUGAGUAACUCCAGUAUACACAUAAAAGUUUUUUGUUUCAGUGGAGAAUGAGAGAGGGGCAGAGGUUGAAACAAUUUUGUGCCACCUGAGAACUGCCUUUUAAAUUGAUAGCAAGGACUAAGAAAACAAAAGGGGAAAGCAAAGGUCUCAAACAUAUUUAAGAAUUUUGCUUUUAUCCUAAUUUAAUUUAAUAUGUUACUUUGCAUUUUGUUCAUUAGAAUUGUUCUAAUGAAGUCUUACUGGUUCUCCUUGGGUAUGUUAAGAAUUCCCAAGUUCCUUUAUGGUCUUUCUAACAGUAUCAACUAAAAAAAUUCUUUCCUUUUUGCAAUACUGGAGAUUGAAUCUAGCCCUUUUAAUUGAUUUUUUGCUUUGAGACAGGGCCUAAGUUGCCCAGACUGGGCGUCAAUUUGCGAUCCUCCUGCCUCAGCCUCUCAGAGUGCUGGGAUUACAGGCAUGCCCCACCACACUCAGAUUCAACUAGAAAUCUUUUUGAGUAGGACUCCUCUGCUAAAUGUAAUGCUAACCUGAGGAUUAAUUUCAUCUCUUUGUUCUUUGGGAUUUAAGAGUAAUGCCAUGGAAAAGAUAGAUAGAAAAAGGCUGAGAGGAGUUAAUUCCAUCUGUGGUACUGUAGUCACAAUUGGUUUUGGAUAAGGAUGAAAUAAGUUCAUUUGAUCAUCAUUACCUAAGAGCCUAAACUGUAUGAAUGGGUUUGGAUCAUUUCAUUGUAGGCCCAAUGAAAGCCCGCCACAUUGGCAACUGUAACCUAUGUGAGAUGGUUGCACACAAAGCCGUAAGUUGAACACACCACACACAGUUUUUUCUCCAUCAUAGGACCUCUGUUUAGUUUCCCUUGGGGGCUAAAAGAUGCACAUCAACCUGUUUAACUAGUUUCUAAGUGUAGAAUACCUAGAUACCAGAAUCUGCUGGAAGAGGGAAGAGUAGCCAUCCCUGCAUUCUUGGUGGUUCUGUCUGAAGGAAGGUAAUUCCAUUUCGUUGCUGUGUGACGGGUAGGUAGCUUGUUAAAGGAUGUAUGUUCUUUACGGAGUGUAAGUCCUUCUAUCCAUUGUGUGUUUGUGCUCAGGGAGUCAUCACAUGUGCUUCUUUGGAGAGUAGGAAAUGAGUAUCAAAAGCCAGUCAUAAGUAUCUGCUUUCCAGUGACCCAAGUACUCUUGUUUCCUGGUGGCCUCUUUUUGGGAAUAGAAGGAGACAUUCAGGCAAGAACUGCUUUGGCUGUGUGUGCAUAUGGUGAUGGUCAGUGGCAGCCCUUUGCUCCAUGGAACUCCUCUAGCACUAUGUAAAUCCCUAAAUACUAUCUCAGUUAUUGUAGGUGAGAAGUUAGGCUGGAGUAUCUGACCCAAAGGUUAGAAAACUUUACUAAGCACUGCAUGGCCAGAUUUCGGAAUCGCUGCACUCUGGAGUGUGCAGUGUUCCCACUUGACCAGGAACACAGAGGCUCUCCUGUUUGAAAACUCCUUGUAUUGACACUAAGAAAACACAGUUAAUAGCCUAGAGCUCGAUAUAGUAUGGACAGCACGGCUCCUUUAAAAAUUUUCAUUCUUCACAAACUAAGUCCAAAGGCAAGACAAGAGGCUUUAAAGUUGUUUGUAAUCCUGGUCACUGAUUUGAACUCCUGAUCUGAUUUCUGUUAUAUGUACCGUACUUUCUUAUAGGCCCCAGGCACGUAGAUCGCAUUUCAUGUCAUUACUCUUCUUUAUUCUAAGACAGUGAUCCUGAACCUUUUAGAGCUUACAGUGAUACAAACAGCCCACUGUGGCACACGUACUGUAAGUUUGCCACCACUGCUCUAAGAUAUAUUGAAAACAUGUCCUAGAAAUUUAGAGAUAUGGGCUAUUUUAUGAAAUUUCACAGUUUUCUUAUCAUUGAAACAGAUUGUUUUGUUUUAUUUAAGUGUAAAAAAUAAAAUAUAUGAAAUUACUUUCAGGGACUGUAUUUUCUAAAGUUUUGAUAUAGGAUUAUAAACAGUUCUGAAGUUUUGGGUUGAAAUACAUUGUAUAUAGCAGCGAUGGUGAACCUUUUAGAACUUUCAAUGAUCCAAACAGCCUGCUACAGCAUGCGUGCCAUAGAUUUGCCACCACUGGUAUAAUACUGUAUACCAGUGGUAUAUAGUGGUACUGAAGAGCCCUGUCAAUUUAAGGGUCUCUCUUCUUGAACUUUCUUCAUCACUCAGGGUUGCAAUGCCUAGUCUGCAAUAUCCUUUGUUACAGAUUGUUAUUGUUGAUUUUAGGUUUGGACCAUGAAUCAUCUGGAAGAUACCUUAAUUCCUUCUCUUAUGUCCUAAACAGUACAUUUUACUUUAGAAGUCCAUGUUAAAAAUACCACUUGUCUCUUCCUGAGAUUUUUUUUUUUUUUGGUACCAGGGAUCGAACUCCGGUCCUUGCGCUUGCAAAGCAGGCAGCAGAACCACUGAGCUAAAUCCCCGGCCUCUUCCUGAGAUUUUGUCCCAUGAGUUAAUUAGCUUUCAUUGAACCAAGCUGAGUUAUUUCCAUUUACCCAUGUUGGAAAACAAGUAAAGUCUAUAGAAAGCAAGUAGUCCUGUGAUCCAUGACUCUGGUACAACCAUUUUCCCUUAAUAAUAAUGGGAAGUGUUUUGAAAUUCCCAGAAGAAAUGCUGGGAUGCUUUACAUUUAAAAAAAUCAUUUAUAAAUGCUUAGUAAUCAAAAUAGUGCAUCCUAAGAAAGACUUUGGGUAAGGAUAAUGGGAAUACAGGACGGUGCUUGAAGAUUUCCUAAACUACUUUAUGCCACUUAGCUUAUAUUUCUGAAGGAUCUGCUUUGUUGCUAUGUACUCAUCUAUCAGUUAAUUGAAAGUAAUGUUUUCUAAAAAAAAAUAAUAAUAAUAAUUUUUCUUAGUCAAUAUUUAAGCAGUUACCAACCGUGAAGACAGUCUUUCCCUUCUGUUCUACAUCAUACACUGAUGCUGACAUUAAAAAAGGGAUGUUGAAGGAGAACUGUCUCAGCCUUGUCUUUUUUCUUUAAAAUACAAAAAUAUCCUAAUUAAUCAUUUAUUGUAGUCAACUUGUUUUAUAUGUCACCCUCUCGAGAAAUGCUGUCAAUAUCAACAAUUUCUAUGUUAAGAACCCCAAACUGUUAACUUAAUCCUUAUGUCCUGCUGAGUGGCUUUUCAUUUAAAAUACCAGAUUUUAUCACCCUGUGGCACUCAGUGUGUUGCUGUGAUACACUGAUGAUCCCAGCUAUGUUCUUUAAAUAGCUUGGUUCUUGUGUUUUUAUAUUAUGUAACAAUUUUGUGAUGCUUUUGUGCAUUCUUUGUCUUCUCUUCAGAGUUUUGAAAUCUGUCAUAAAUAAACUUUUUC
ensembl:lncRNA